rnacentral:tRNA from 2 species
UGGCGUGUGGCGGAGCAGUCGGCUAUUAACCGAUUUGUCGUGGGUUCGAUUCCCACCUUGCCAG